CAGGUUGUUGGAGGGGAAGGAUGCAGGCUGUGAGCUCUCUCUGGGGAGUUGCUACAGGUCCCAACUGCAGGAUCACGGCUCACAGAGUGCCAGACAGACUCCAGGCUGCCUGAUGAGCCCCAAGAAGGGGCUGCACUCAUGGCAGCCUGGCCAUUGAGGACCCCAGAGGAACUAGGGAGCUUCAAUGAGGGGGAAAGGGAAAGAAGCAGCCCAGGGGACUUAAACUUUUCAAUGAAAUUAUUUUCAGGAGGGUUUUGUAUCUUCACCUUUUGAAAGAAUUACUCGCUCCCGUCCGAGAGGCCGUUUGCCAAGUUUCACCUGGUGGCAAAAGCUGGCAGUUGAAGUCCAUAAUGGGAACACUGACAAAGCUUUAUCUACAGCAUCACAACUGGCAACGCUAAACACCAUUUGAAAGACCAAUGCAGUCGGCAUUUUAAAGCAGUGCAAUACAACAUUCUUCAUUAUAGAGCAUCCUUCAGACUGAGUGUCUCAAAAUGCUUCAGAGAGAAUUCAUCAUGAGCGAGAGAACAAGGCAAAUAAAGCUUGUGGGUGACACUUGGAGAGAGGAAACAGCUUAGAGUGUACGUGUAGGUGUGGGAAGGGAGACUUUCCUUACCCAAGGAGAGUCAUGGGGGAGGGGCAGAGAGGAGCAUCAUGAACAGGAGAUCAACGAGUCAGGUUGGAGCUAUGCACAGAGUCUGUAACACUAGAUAAACUUGUCCUUGGAGUCAGUAACUGGGUUUCUCUGGUUCCCUUUUAGGCCAGCCUUGGGAGGCUACGUUCUGGGUUUUGCAGCUCAAAGAUCUUUCUAAAACGGGUCAGAUCUGAACAUGGCACCUAAACACCCUGAACUUUGGGGAAAUUUGGGUGAGGACUGUAUUCCAGGAGUAGUCUCAGCUACACUGCCCUGCCUUGUGCCUGGCUCUCUGGAAAGCAGCCCUGGGGGAAGGGGAAUGUGUGGGAGAGAAGGAUAUCAUUCCCCCUCAAGUGCCUGUAGUAAAAUCAUGGAAGAGCUGAGGCAGCCUGGAGCUUGCUUUGUGACUCACUCUUUGCAGUUUCAGGCUUUUAUCAGUUUAGAGUGCUCUAAAUUGACUCCUAAGACAGUGCCAGGGCGUUCUGAUGAUCUACAGAAAUGCCAUGCACUCAGCAAAGCUUAUCUGUAUUAUUUUUAAAAGAUUACUUAGUAUUUCAUUAGAGUUAAAUUUUCAGUGAAGGUUUGGUUUCUUGCCUACCAAGCGGCCUGGUCUGAGGCCUCUGCACUGAGCUCAAUUUUUUCCCCUCUCCGCUGCUGGGGUUGCCGUUCUGUGGUCCCAGCCGGCUGGCCUGGUGCCCCUGCUCUGCCGCCAUGAAGCUCAUGAGGUUUCUAAUGAAAUUGAAUCCUGAGACUGUGACCACUGAACUGAAGAAUGGAACCAUCACAGGAGUGGAUGUCUGUAUGAAUAAGCAUCUUAAAGCUGUGAAAAUGACACUGAAGAACAGAGAGCCUGGACAGUUGGAGACAUUGAGUAUUUGAGGAAACAACAUUAGAGACUUCAUUCUGCCAGACUGUCUACCUCUGGAUACCUUGCUAGUGGAUGUUGAACCAAAAGUCGAAUCCAAGAAAAGGGAAGCAGUUGCAGGAAGAGGCCGUGGCAGAGGACAAGGGAGACCUAGCCAAUAACUUCUCUCGCCCCACAGAUACAGGUUACAAAAUUCUAAGCAGCCUGACAUUUUUUGUACAAGUUUUGUUUAGUGUCAAUUUUUAAUAAACACAAAUGUGGAAAA